rnacentral:rRNA from 1 species
CUGUGGAUAGGGGUGAAAGGCCAAACAAACUUGGUGAUAGCUGGUUCUCCUCGAAAUGCAUUUAGGUGCAGCGUCGUGCGUUCAGUCUCGGAGGUAGAGCACUGGAUGAGCUAGGGGGCCUACAAGCUUACCGAACUCAGCCAAAACUCCGAAUGCCGAGACUCCAGAGCACGGCAGUGAGACCACGGGGGAUGAGCUUCGUUGGUCGAAAGGGAAACAGCCCAGACCAUCAUCUAAGGCCCCUAAUUCAGGACUAAGUGGAAAACGAUGUGGGACUGCUGAGACAGCCAGGAGUUGGCUUAGAAGCAGCCAUCCUUGAAAGAGUGCGUAAUAGCUCACUGGUCGAGUGGUCCUGCGCGGACAAUUUAACGGGGCUCAAGUCCUGAGCCGAAGAUAUGGACUCUACAUCUGUA